GACGAACGCUGGCGGCGUGCCUAAUACAUGCAAGUAGAACGCACAGUUUAUACCGUAGCUUGCUACACCAUAAACUGUGAGUUGCGAACGGGUGAGUAACGCGUAGGUAACCUGCCUGGUAGCGGGGGAUAACUAUUGGAAACGAUAGCUAAUACCGCAUAAUAUUAAUUAUUGCAUGAUAAUUGAUUGAAAGAUGCAAUUGCAUCACUACCAGAUGGACCUGCGUUGUAUUAGCUAGUAGGUGAGGUAACGGCUCACCUAGGCGACGAUACAUAGCCGACCUGAGAGGGUGAUCGGCCACACUGGGACUGAGACACGGCCCAGACUCCUACGGGAGGCAGCAGUAGGGAAUCUUCGGCAAUGGACGAAAGUCUGACCGAGCAACGCCGCGUGAGUGAAGAAGGGUUUCGGAUCGUAAAGCUCUGCUGUAAGAGAAGAACGGGUGUGAGAGUGGAAAGUUCACACUGUGACGGUAUCUUACCAGAAAGGGACGGCUAACUACGUG
rnacentral:rRNA from 1 species